CUACGGGGUGCUGCAGUGGGGAAUAUUGGACAAUGGGGGAAACCCUGAUCCAGCAAUGCCGCGUGUGUGAAGAAGGCCUGCGGGUUGUAAAGCACUUUCGGUUGGGAGGACUGCUUCUAGCACUAAUAUUGUUGGAAGUUGACGUUACCUUCAGAAGAAGCACCGGCUAACUCCGUGACCAGCAGCCGCGGUAAUACGGAGGGUGCAAGCGUUAAUCGGAAUUACUGGGCGUAAAGCGCGCGUAGGCGGCUAGAUCAGUCGGGUGUGAAAGCCCCGGGCUUAACCUGGGAACUGCAUCCGAUACUGUCUAGCUUGAGUACAGGAGAGGAGAGUGGAAUUCCACAUGUAGCGGUGAAAUGCGUAGAUAUGUGGAGGAACACCAAUGGCGAAGGCAGCCCUCUGGCCUGAUACUGACGCUGAGGUGCGAAAGUGUGGGGAGCAAACAGGAUUAGAUACCCCUGUAGUC
rnacentral:rRNA from 1 species